rnacentral:rRNA from 1 species
GGGGAUGCCUUGGCUCCCGGAGGCGACGAAGGACGUGGUAAGCUGCGAAAAUUGGCGGGGAGGUGCAAACG